rnacentral:rRNA from 1 species
GACGAACGCCGGCGGCGUGCUUAACACAUGCAAGUCGAACGGAAAGGCCCUGCUUUUGUGGGGUGCUCGAGUGGCGAACGGGCGAGUAACACGUGAGUAACCUGCCCUUGACUUUGGGAUAACUUCAGGAAACUGGGGCUAAUACCGGAUAGGAGCUCCUGCUGCAUGGUGGGGGUUGGAAAGUUUCGGCGGUUGGGGAUGGACUCGCGGCUUAUCAGCUUGUUGGUGGGGUAGUGGCUUACCAAGGCUUUGACGGGUAGCCGGCCUGAGAGGGUGACCGGCCACAUUGGGACUGAGAUACGGCCCAGACUCCUACGGGAGGCAGCAGUGGGGAAUAUUGCACAAUGGGCGGAAGCCUGAUGCAGCAACGCCGCGUGCGGGAUGACGGCCUUCGGGUUGUAAACCGCUUUCGCCUGUGACGAAGCGUGAGUGACGGUAAUGGGUAAAGAAGCACCGGCUAACUACGUG